AAGCUGUGUUAAUAGAAGGAAUACAAAUUUCUUAUGUCCUCCAGACAGGAGAAGGUUUGGGGAGUCAAUUAAUCCUCAUCGAGGCAAGAGAUGUUUGCUUUUGAAUACAGGAGGAGAAAUGGGCCGCAGCUCCAAGUGUAAUCUGCCCCCAUCUUUGAAACCAGAGCCCGCUCUUCCGGUCUCCCUGGGAAAGCCGGGAAGUACUGAGUUCCUGGAGCCCUCCCGCGGCUCGGCAGAAGCAGCAGGAACUGGGUCAAGGAGGAGAGGCCAUCAACAUCUUUUGACACCAGAGGCCUGUGAAAUUUGCAAGACACAGAAAGAGAAGGAGCCGAGGGAGGCUUGAGCCUUUUUCGAGGAAGGGUAGCACAUGGCCAGGUGUUCGUGAUCAGGGGAUGGAGGUGUAAGGAAGAAGUGAUCAUCUGCGUCCAUCUUGGGUGUAAUCUUGUGUUGUCUAGCAAGCCUCAGAAAUACUUCGUUCGAUACAAACCCCAGAAAUGCCUUAAGAGAAAUGGUAGGAGAACCUUGCAGGACUCAAGCUUGCACCGUCAGCUCUCCGGCAUCUCAGGCCUUCCAACUUGGACCGGCGCUGUAGCCUUGGCUCUUUGGAUGUCCAGCGUGCUGAUUACAGAUUGAGAUUUCUCAACCUCGGAAAUAGUCUCUGUGGCCUUUAUUUCCUUCCUGCUUGGCUGAUCCGGGACCCCAGGAAGCCAGGCUUCCUGUCGCGAUCAGUUCGAGGACCGCCUGCAGAAACGCACACUCAGCAGAGCGGCGCUCGCCAAGGGAGAGGCUGCGAAAGGUCAGAGAACUCGAGGCAGACGCAGACCCACGGAGGAGCCCGUGCACGUUCACACAAACACGCCGAACGUCUCUGACGGGCGGAGGGAAGGAAAGGUGGUGGAUGCAAGACUGAAAAGCAAAAACAACAUGAGUGAGCCUGGAGGACAUGACCAGAGAGAGUGCACACACAAGAAGACAGAGCGACAGGCAAAGGAGGAGGGAGAAGCAGGCU